rnacentral:rRNA from 1 species
UACAGAGGUGGCAAGCGUUGUUCGGAAUUACUAGGCGUAAAGGGCGAGUAGGUGGCCAUCUAAGUCAGACGUGAAAUCCCCCGGCUUAACCUGGGAACUGCGUCUGAUACUGGACGGCUUGAGUAUGGGAGAGGAACGUAGAAUUCCAGGUGUAGCGGUGAAAUGCGUAGAUAUCUGGAGGAAUACCGGUGGCGAAGGCGGCGUUCUGGACCAUUACUGACACUGAAUCGCGAAAGCUAGGGGAGCAAACGGG